rnacentral:rRNA from 1 species
AUUGAACGCUGGCGGCAGGCCUAACACAUGCAAGUCGAGCGAGCCGCGGGCGGGUGAGUAAUGCGUGGGACUUGUCCAGUCGGGGGGGAUAACCGUUGGACACGACUGAUAAUAGCGCAUACGAUGAGAUUGCACAGGUGGGAUUCGCUAGUUGGGGAGGUAAUGGCGCACCAAGGCGACGAUCCCUAGCUGGGCUGAGAGGAUGAUCAGCCACACUGUAACUGAGACACGGUCCAGACUCCUACGGGAGGCAGCAGUGGGGAAUAUUGCACAAUGGGGGAAACCCUGAUGCAGCCAUGCCGCGUGUAUGAAGAAGGCCUUCGGGUUGUAAAGCACUUUCAGCGAGGAGGCGUUACUCGCAGAAGAAGCACCGGCUAACUCCGUGCCAGCAGCCGCGGUAAUAC